rnacentral:rRNA from 1 species
AGAGUUUGAUCAUGGCUCAGAAUGAACGCUGGCGGCGUGCUUUACACAUGCAAGUCGAGCGAGGCGGGGAGCAAUCCCCAGUCGAGCGGCGAACGGGUGAGUAACGCGUGGAUAACCUGCCUUGGGGUGGGGGAUAACUCGGGGAAACUCGAGCUAAUACCGCAUACGAUCGGAAGAUCAAAGGGGCGCAAGUCCCGCCAUGAGAGGGGUCCGCGUACGAUUAGCUAGUUGGCAGGGUAAUGGCCUACCAAGGCGACGAUCGUUAGCCGGCCUGAGAGGGUGGUCGGCCACACUGGAACUGAGACACGGUCCAGACUCCUACGGGAGGCAGCAGUGGGGAAUUUUGCGCAAUGGGGGAAACCCUGACGCAGCAACGCCGCGUGGAGGAUGAAGGUCUUUGGAUUGUAAACUCCUGUCAGCAGGGAAAAAGGCCUCUGGCCACACCAGAGGAUUGAUUGUACCUGCAGAGGAAGCCCCGGCUAACUCUGUGCCAGCAGCCGCGGUAAUUC